rnacentral:rRNA from 1 species
UACGAAGGGGGCUAGCGUUGUUCGGAUUUACUGGGCGUAAAGCGCACGUAGGCGGAUCGUUAAGUCGGGGGUGAAAUCCUGGAGCUCAACUCCAGAACUGCCUCGAUACUGGCGAUCUUGAGUCCGGAAGAGGUGAGUGGAACUCCUAGUGUAGAGGUGGAAUUCGUAGAUAUUAGGAAGAACACCAGUGGCGAAGGCGGCUCACUGGGUCCGGUACUCGACGCCUGAGGGUGCGAAAGCGUGGGGAGCAAACAGG